GUUAAAAAGCUCGUAGUUGGAUUUCUGGGAGGGUGCCAAUGUCCGUCAACGUGCGUGUGCAGCGGCGCCCUUCCAUCCUUCUGUUAACGCCUCUGGGCAUUUAUUUGCUGGUGGCGGGCUCAGAUAUUUUACCUUGAGAAAAUUAGAGUGUUUCAGGCAGGCUAGGCCGGAAUACAUUAGCAUGGAAUAACAGAAUAGGACUAUGGUCUCUUUGUUGGUUUGAGGGACUAUGGUAAUGAUUAAUAGGGAUAGUUGGGGGCAUUAGUAUUUAAUUGUCAGAGGUGGAAUUCUCAGAUUUGUUAAAGACUAACUUAUGCGAAAGCAUUUGCCAAGGAUGUUUUCAUUAAUCAAGAACGAAAGUUAGGGGAUCAAAGACGAUCAGAUACCGUC
rnacentral:rRNA from 1 species